CAAAACCAAGAAGAUGGAAAACUGGUUAAAUGGAAAAGUCAGUGUCUUCUUUAUGGACCAGGGUCCCCUGUUUUCCGUUUCCAGAGGUGCAGAUUUUGUGAAGUCCCUCCACCUCACUAGUCAUGGAACUGGUCCGAACCAGCCCGUAAACCGUUGACAUUAUACAAAUGAAAAACCAGAAAAUUUUCAAUAAUACCAGACACGGUCUUCUGCUACUGAAGUUGAAGACACCAUCAAUGAACUCUGAAUUCUCUUAGACUAAACCAGACACAGGUAUGAAUUCAGUACAAUUUGAGGAAAAGUGAAC
rnacentral:lncRNA from 1 species